GGAGGGUGCAAGCGUUAUCCGGGAUUUAUUGGGGUUUAAAGGGGUCCGUAGGCGGAUCUGUGAGUCAGUGGGGUGAAAUCUCACAGCUUAACUGUGAAACUGCCAUUGAUACUGCAGGUCUUGAGUAAAUUUGAAGUGGCUGGAAUAAGUAGUGUAGCGGUGAAAUGCAUAGAUAUUACUUAGAACACCAAUUGCGAAGGCAGGUCACUAAGAUUUAACUGACGCUGAUGGACGAAAGCGUGGGGAGCGAACAGGAUUAGAUACCCUGGUAGUCCACGCCGUAAACGAUGCUAACUCGUUUUUUGUGAUUCGUCAUGAGAGACUAAGCGAAAGUGAUAAGUUAGCCACCUGGGGAGUACGUUCGCAAAGAAUG
rnacentral:rRNA from 1 species